rnacentral:rRNA from 1 species
GACGUAGGAGGCGAGCGUUGUUCGGAAUCACUGGGCGUAAAGGGCGCGUAGGCGGCCCUCCUUGUCGCGUGUGAAAGCCCCGGGCUCAACCUGGGAACGGCGCGCGAGACGGGGGGGCUGGAGUUCGGGAGAGGAGCGUGGAAUUCCCAGUGUAGAGGUGAAAUUCGUAGAUAUUGGGAAGAACACCGGUGGCGAAGGCGGCGCUCUGGACCGAGACUGACGCUGAGGCGCGAAAGCGUGGGGAGCAAACAGG